CUUGCGCGCGCGCACCCCGCCCUCCCGCCUCAGGGCGUGGUCCUCGCGCCGCGACCGCGGGGCGCCUUCAUUCCGCGUUACCUCAGAGCCCCGCGGACCGCGCCGAGGUGUCGUACCCCCAACCCCCCCCUCGUCCGGGGAGUGAGGGCUGGAGGCGGCCGGCUUCAGUCGCCCUUUAGCCCGGUUGUGGUGGCCGGUGGGCAGGUGCGAGGGACGUUUUUUUUUUUUUUUUUUCCACAAGGAGCCCUGUAAGCGGGCGUGUGGCGUUCCCCGCGUCACGGAGAGCCGAAGGUGUGUCCCGCAGCGUGCUUCACGCGUUCACGUGCCCUCAUGCCUCAACGGGGCGGCCGCUGCUUGCAGCACCUCCUCAGAGUAUCAUUGCAAACUGCGCGUUUUUGCCGCUUUCCCAGCAGAGCAGGUGCCCGGCUGCUGCGCUUCCUGCCCCUGGCGGGGCGGCUCGCUGAGCUCCCCGUGGAGCCCCGCAGAGCUCUGCUUCCAGUCUCCGCUCGUCCUUCAGCUGCGCCUUGCAGCGUUAGUUUGCAGGGAGGUAGCCCUUAGGAGUUGCCGCCAUUUCGCGCGGUGCUCCGGGACGUGGCACGAGGCAGCACGUGGCACGAGGCAGCCCGUGUGGGCUCGGUCCGGAGCAGAGCACUGCUAGGAUUAGAGGAUUUCAUCUGUGCCUUUGCUGUUUCAACACUGGAUCGAUACUGUUUACACAGAAACAGCAGAAUAGGUCCUCGAUGAAGAGAUUUGACCAAGUAAGGAGUUCUGUCUGUCAGACGAAGACUUGCCAGCGUUUGUGGUGAAAUAAUCUGCUCUGUUUGGAGACUGCGGGAAAAAUCCUUUCCGUACAGCUGAGAAUUUCUCACUUCAAAGCAUCGCACAAUUGACCUGCAGAAUGAAAUGACCGUGGCUGUUAGCAGUUGCAGUGCUCCUUUACACCUGGUGACCCCUGUUUCCAUGUGCCCAGCUCCCAGAAGGUGUGACUUGCAUUGGAAAUCCUGUUCCACCCCGGGGAUGCGGGCAGGCAGAGUUUGUCAUUGCCAGCGAGGAAACGUGGCUGUGUGUGAACCACCAGGAGGACAGACGGACACGUGCACGCCAGUGGCCGGACAGAAAUUUCAAGCAACAGUUCUUGGAAACCAUAUGGGGAUCAGCCUGGGAGUUCUGCAAGGACUGGGGAUCAACUUUGACCCAAGGCUUUCUCAUGAUGCAUCACAGUUUUUCUAAGCUUUACUAAGACACUGGACAGUAAAGGAAACGAAUCCUUCAUAUGUUGUCUGAGCCCAGCAGGGAAACAGAAAUGCUUUCCAAAAAGAGAAAAUGAAGAAAAAUGUAAGUAAGAAAGGAACUAAUCCUUCAUAUUUAUCUAAGAACUCCUGAAGCCCAUUUUGAUAGGUAUAUUCUUUCUUGGGCAAAUGACUUAAUUGAAAUUUACGUUAUAUGAUCUAUACAAAUAUUGUUUCAGAUCUCUUGGCUUUUCCAAAUGAAAAUUGAACUUUCUAAGGCCUUUCUCCUCAGUAUAAUAAGCCUAUUUUUAGAGCCGUGAAUGCCUUAUAAAGAACGUUUUGUUCACCUGUAGAAAAGUUUGUUAUUCAAAACUUGAAGAAAACACUGCAAAACACUGUAUAUAGCACCAGUUUGUCCCUGCUACAUUAUAAACUUUGCUAAAAACUGAAGUGACUUUGAAGGCAGGAAAACUGGAAACUG